CCUACGGGAGGCAGCAGCAGGGAAUAUUGUGCAAUGAGCGAAAGCUUGACACAGCGACACCGCGUGUGGGAUGACGGUUCUAGGAUUGUAAACCACUUUCAGGAGGGAAGAAAAUGACGGUACCUCCACAAGAAGACCCGGCCAACUAUGUGCCAGCAGCCGCGGUAAUACAUAGGGGUCAAGCGCUGUCCGGAUUUAUUGGGCGUAAAGAGCUCGUAGGCGGUUCAACAAGUCGGUCGUAAAAGUUUAGGGCUCAACCCUAAAAUGUCGAUCGAUACUGUUGUGACUAGGAUACGGUAGAGGUGAAUGGAAUUCCGAGUGUAGCGGUGAAAUGCGUAGAUAUUCGGAGGAACACCAAUUGCGAAGGCAGUUCACUGGACCGUGAUCGACGCUGAGGAGCGAAAGCUAGGGGAGCAAACAGGAUUAGAUACCCUGGUAGUCCUAGCUGUAAACGAUGGAUACUAGAUGUAGGAACUGGAUUGACGGUUUCUGUAUCGUAGCUAACGCGUUAAGUAUCCCGCCUGGAGAGUACGGUCGCAAGACUAAAACUCAAAGGAAUUGACGGA
rnacentral:rRNA from 1 species